UGUCCCAGACCCUGGAACAUGCCUGGUAUAUCAAAGGUGCUCAAUAAGUGCUUCCUGAGACCGAUUCACAAGAAGGCUCUGGGGUGUGGAAUUCGAGGUUUAAAUUCCAUGCGGAGUUCUGAGAUCGAGUGCACCGGCCGACAUCCCUGGACAGAACGCUAAACCCGCGUGGACGCUGUUGUCAAGGACUGUCUGAACACAGUUCACCGCACAAACUGUGAGCCUCUGAGGAAAGGUAUGUCUCAAGGGAAAAGCCUGAGAAGCCUCUCGAACGGCAGCAGCUGUGAGCUGGGAACGCUGGGUUGGUGGGGAGAUAAAGAAGCUGAUGUAUUUUUCUGAUAGAAGGCUCUAUGCCCAAGAGGAUCCAAGUUCUGAAGGGGGCGCACGACGCUGGCACAGCACCUGGUUCUGUGAGCAAAGAGCUUCCAGAAGGCAGGGUCUUUGUCUAAUCCACUGCCGUGUCCGUAGCACCUAGCACAAUGCUCGACUCAUGGCAGGCAUCCAAGAAAUGUUUGUGACGCAAACGAACUAAUAAAUGGACAUCAACCCCAGUCUGAAGGCAAAGGACAGAUGUAACGUGUGACAAAUCAUUACCGCACAUUGACGUCUUCUCAAAUGUGACCCUCUUACCUCACGCUAACAAAGGAGAAAAGGCCUUCCGUCUACUGAGGAUUUCUUUAGCUCCUCUCUGGCGAAGUCAUAAAUAAUCUCUCCCAAGGCAUUACUCAUUUUACUCGGUCUUUUUUUUUUUUUUAAAUGAAAUGGCAUGACAACUCGC